rnacentral:tRNA from 1 species
AGUGAUGUAGCUUAGUGGUAGAAUGUGUGCCUAACAUGCAUGAGGCCCUGGGUUCAAUCCCCAACCCCACCA